UACGGAGGGGGCAAGCGUUGUUCGGAAUUACUGGGCGUAAAGGGCGCGCAGGCGGCUGCUCAAGUCAGGCGUGAAAGGCCUGGGCUCAACCCGGGAAUUGCGCUUGAGACUGGGCUGGCUUGAGUGCGGGAGAGGAUGGUGGAAUUCCCAGUGUAGAGGUGAAAUUCGUAGAUAUUGGGAAGAACACCGGUGGCGAAGGCGGCCAUCUGGACAGUGACUGACGCUGAGACGCGAAAGCGUGGGGAGCAAACAGG
rnacentral:rRNA from 1 species